AUGCAGUCGACGAUGAACUGGAGCUUGCUCCAGGGAUUAGUGGCGAACGGGUGAGUAACACGUGAGUAACCUGCCCUUGACUCUGGGAUAAGCGCUAGAAAUGGCGUCUAAUACCGGAUACGAGCUUCAGCCGCAUGGCUAGGAGUUGGAAAGAAUUUUGGUCAAGGAUGGACUCGCGGCCUAUCAGCUAGUUGGUGAGGUAAUGGCUCACCAAGGCGACGACGGGUAGCCGGCCUGAGAGGGUGACCGGCCACACUGGGACUGAGACACGGCCCAGACUCCUACGGGAGGCAGCAGUGGGGAAUAUUGCACAAUGGGCGAAAGCCUGAUGCAGCAACGCCGCGUGAGGGAUGACGGCCUUCGGGUUGUAAACCUCUUUUAGUAGGGAAGAAGCGAAAGUGACGGUACCUGCAGAAAAAGCACCGGCUAACUACGUGCCAGCAGCCGCGGUAAUACGUAGGGUGCAAGCGUUGUCCGGAAUUAUUGGGCGUAAAGAGCUCGUAGGCGGUUUGUCGCGUCUGCUGUGAAAUCUGGGGGCUCAACCCCCAGCCUGCAGUGGGUACGGGCAGACUAGAGUGCGGUAGGGGAGAUUGGAAUUCCUGGUGUAGCGGUGGAAUGCGCAGAUAUCAGGAGGAACACCGAUGGCGAAGGCAGAUCUCUGGGCCGUAACUGACGCUGAGGAGCGAAAGCGUGGGGAGCGAA
rnacentral:rRNA from 1 species